GCAGUCGAGCGGAGAGAGGUAGCUUGCUACCGAUCUUAGCGGCGGACGGGUGAGUAAUGCUUAGGAAUCUGCCUAUUAGUGGGGGACAACAUUUCGAAAGGAAUGCUAAUACCGCAUACGUCCUACGGGAGAAAGCAGGGGAUCUUCGGACCUUGCGCUAAUAGAUGAGCCUAAGUCGGAUUAGCUAGUUGGUGGGGUAAAGGCCUACCAAGGCGACGAUCUGUAGCGGGUCUGAGAGGAUGAUCCGCCACACUGGGACUGAGACACGGCCCAGACUCCUACGGGAGGCAGCAGUGGGGAAUAUUGGACAAUGGGCGCAAGCCUGAUCCAGCCAUGCCGCGUGUGUGAAGAAGGCCUUAUGGUUGUAAAGCACUUUAAGCGAGGAGGAGGCUACUUUAGUUAAUACCUAGAGAUAGUGGACGUUACUCGCAGAAUAAGCACCGGCUAACUCUGUGCCAGCAGCCGCGGUAAUACAGAGGGUGCAAGCGUUAAUCGGAUUUACUGGGCGUAAAGCGCGCGUAGGCGGCUAAUUAAGUCAAAUGUGAAAUCCCCGAGCUUAACUUGGGAAUUGCAUUCGAUACUGGUUAGCUAGAGUGUGGGAGAGGAUGGUAGAAUUCCAGGUGUAGCGGUGAAAUGCGUAGAGAUCUGGAGGAAUACCGAUGGCGAAGGCAGCCAUCUGGCCUAACACUGACGCUGAGGUGCGAAAGCAUGGGGAGCAAACAGGAUUAGAUACCCUGGUAGUCCAUGCCGUAAACGAUGUCUACUAGCCGUUGGGGCCUUUGAGGCUUUAGUGGCGCAGCUAACGCGAUAAGUAGACCGCCUGGGGAGUACGGUCGCAAGACUAAAACUCAAAUGAAUUGACGGGGGCCCGCACAAGCGGUGGAGCAUGUGGUUUAAUUCGAUGCAACGCGAAGAACCUUACCUGGCCUUGACAUAGUAAGAACUUCCAGA
rnacentral:rRNA from 1 species